rnacentral:rRNA from 1 species
AUAAUAAGCCGCAACCAACGCAGAACCAACGCGCCUCUCCGUUCCCUAGAGAGCAACUCUCCUCGUCUACUCUAACCAACCUCUCCCUGACCACGCCUCCUCGGUGGUGUGGUCCGUCCCUAAAGUAAAGCAGAGGCCUCCCGACUCCGACUCACCCACGGGGCAGCGGCAGCCGGAUGUGAUGCGCGAGAGAAAAAUUACGGGGCGGCGGCGUGAGCGGAGCGGAUGCGUGGGAGGAGAAGAAGAAGAAGAGGGUGAUGAAGGAGAGGUCGGGCGAUCGACGACGCCGGAGAGAAGGCCUCCGAACCUCACUAGUGGUCUCUUUUGUCCAAUAACAGACGGUUCGAUGAUGUGUCGUUCUACAGCCAUCGGUUCUUCCUGCUCCAAACGCCAGUAGGCGAACCCGAAGCCAACCCACUCGGCCGACGACCACAAGGGUAAUUCUUUUCCGGUCAAAAGAAUAGGCUGUUUAGUCAAGGUAGACCUUACUGUGAGAGGUACUUCGGGGGUAGAUGAGGCUGCCCCUACAGACAGAGCCGAGACCCCCGCCCGAAAUCGUUACUCGGACAGAACUUAUCUAGAUUUAGCCUAUAAGGGUCAUCUAGAAAAUGAGGCAGCUGCUUGCUCUUCUUUCCGCACGAUGGAUUACCGAGUUCGCUCUAGGGGAGAGCACCUCUCUCACCAUCUGAUCCCUCGCAACGAGGGCAACGGUCUAGUGUCUCAGUGUUCAAAGACUGAAACCUAAAUGUCAAUCGCAAAGCAGUCUUAGAGUUUUAGUUGAGAUUAAGGGGACAGUUCUUUCUCUUUGAUCUAGUCCCAAAGAGAUAUAAAGGAAGUCGUUCUGGAGGGUUCCUACACGUUUGUUGUUCACCGUACCUUAGAAGAAGAUUGCGAUCGAACCCUUUUGAUAGAUUAAAUCUAGAAUUACAUAGUGACUUGGGUCAACUAGUUGAACUUCCAAACGGAUGUUACGUCCGACCGAAAUUGUAUGGGGUAGUAUGUUGUAAAGUCGUAGUCUUUCGUGUCCGAGGGGGUCACCGUGGGAAAAGAAGUCAUUCGUCAGCCGACUCAGAUUUAUAACUGUUAUGACACUUUGGCAGCUUACGUAUAGUUGAAAGUUUAUUCUCACCUAGUGGACUACAAUGGAAUCUAAACGUUGAAUUUGGUGGUUGGUCUGGACUCGAACCUUAUUCGACCUUUCCGGAACGAGGACUAGGUCUCGAUUCGGAGAGAGAUAGACCAUUAGUGUGUCUACUCGGAUUCCCAGACUUACAAGGACUACGAUAUAAAUGUGGACUUGGACAACUUUCUCGGUUAUUCUAGUCGGUCCGCCAAGGAUGUGGUCAGAGACUAUUUAGUGGGCGACUCUUCUAAAGCUUCGGACACCGCACAUUACAUUUAGGAGUGUGGUGAUACGGUGUUUGUCAAAGACCUUUACACCUCUAUUACGGGUCAUUAAACCACUUCUUUCUCGGACCUCUUGGAUGUGCCGUUGUAUAGGUCUUGUUACAUCUUUUCCGUGGAGACAAGCAGGUUGUUGCACAACCUGUCCGAUCGUCAUCACGACUUAAACUUUUUUGACCGUUGGAUUUGGUUCACACACCAUUUAGACCGAAACUAAACAUGAGACCUUUAAAAGGUUUACCAUCACCACGGGCGUUACCUAACCUCCAUCACUGACUAUCACAAGGACAUGUUUGACCGUUUAACACACCACGACGAACGUGACUCUUUAAAUAGUUCGCACUUCUUCACUGUUGACGGCAGGGUUCGGGACACUAACGUUGUCAUUCACCAGUCAGACUAAGUAAUUAACGAUUUAGUGACGUAAACCUUCCAUUACAACGGUCGGGACAACAACCUAAUACACUUAGUCGAUCAGUUGGGUGGUAAAGACGAAGCCCUGGACGUUCGACAUGAGGACAAUUUCGAUGAUGACUAACAUUUGGUCGUCAAUUAGUCCAAGUACGAGCGUUUUUACACCGGGCCUUCGGAACACUACAUAGGGCUUCAAGGAGGUUGGGUUGUCGACUUAGAAACCAAAAGUUAAGAGACGUGGCUCGACAUAAACUACCAUACAGGGUUCCUUCACGAAGUUACCUGAAAAGUCUCCUAACACUAUUACGACAAAGUGUCGACGGAUGAUGGUUAUUCGGAGUACAGCUCAGUAACCCAUUAUCAGUUUAAUGACUCCAAUUACUGAAUUAGUGACUCGGCGCCUUUCUUCUACUAUCAUUAUACGUAGUGCUGACAAACAGGCACUGUUUAUUCCAAGUGUAAGUCCCGUGACCACUACACUUCGCACAAUUAUGCGGUCUACAGUAACGGUGAGUAAGUCCACUCCUCCUCGCACUUUCACUCCAAAGACAAUUACCCUCUCGGUUUCUGUUUGUUAACAACUGUAGACUAUUCUUAAGGGGUGACUUAUUUUGACUGCAAUGGUCCCUUCUACAAUUCUAAAGGCGUCCACGGUCAAGUCGUUUAGAAUGUUCUGGUGGAUAAAACCCUUGAAGUCCAAGGGUAUUUUAUCUAAGAUGGUCCGUUAGAGGUUUCUGUAAACUAAUGUGACAGCUCUUCACAUCUUAGGGUCACUAUUUUAGACUUUCCUCAGUCAGAGGACUACCAUUCUUUCGACGAUUAACAUCGCUCUCGUUAUGUUUUUAACGACGACAUUUCUCACUCGUACCCUGUCUUUUCCUUCUCUAACGUUCUCCGAGAUUAAAUGUCGGUUUGCUAGGUCAAAACCCACUCCUAAGUGAACAACUACCUCGAAGCUGGUCAGUUGAUGGAUUACUUAGAUGUCUCUAACUUUUUCUACCUGUCCAAUUACCCAGUGUAACCGCUCUACACCGUUUACGAAUACAAUUAUCCUUACUUUCUACCCUCUCCAAGUACGUCAGACUCGCUCUCUUGUUGUCGCUCAAGGUACCACCGUCUCUGUACUUGUUAGUUGCCUCCUACCUGGGUGCAAUAGCACCAGCACCACCACCUAUAGUACCGGUAGGUUCCUUGAAGUCCCCAGGUUCUUACUCGCUACUCAGACUUUAACUGAAACUUCUACUUGGAUAACAACCGUCUUCCUCCGGUGUACUUUUACUCAUGCCCGUGAACGUGGCUUGAGUCGUAUCCGCCGACGCAAGUGGUGGCGUAGUCUACGGACCGACAGAGUACUCUCUUUACCUUGUACUGUCUAAAAGACCCUCUCUCUAAUACCUGGGAUCCGACAACCUAGUGCCCGUCUACCUACUACAGGCUCUACUGUACUACCUUGUCUCCAAAAAGUACGGGGUAGGAGUAAGUGUCGUGUGAGAUCCACUAGUACGUAAAUAGGUGUCCCUGUCCUCAGUAAGUGGACCAGUUUCUUCCCCGCGGGGGCACGUAAAGGUGGCCCCUGCCAGGGGACUUUGGUACGUGUCUAGUGGCGGUCAUUUGUCUUCACUGUCUGGUAUGAAUGGAGUAGUUGCGGUGUAUGCUGCGGCACCAAGAGGUAAGCUGGCUCAUCCUGUACUGCUAUCUCCAUACGUUUCCUUGUACUUCGCCACGCCGUACGUAGUUCCACACCUUCCACUCUGGAAACCCGGUGGAAAUGUAGGGCGAGUUGAUCGGCUCUAUGUACGUCUCCGACUCGAAUGUCUCUCUUCCUCCAAACCCCUCUCCUCUCGCAUAGCAGCUAGGAACCUUGCCUCGGGGUACCCGCCGCUGCUCCUCUACGACGGCAUGGUUCCGCUACCGCUGUAGCUGAAACGACUACCACUACCGCCAGGUGCCCUCGGACUGCCGGCGAAGUCCUUGUCUUACCUCGUGGCUCGUUCCCCGCUCGUCCUUCUGCCGAAGUCCAUGGCACCGGGAGUCCCCCCCACGGCACUGCCGUUGGGCUUACUGUCAUCUAGCUUCUUCUCCUCCAUGACUGGACGGUUACUUACUUAGACUUAGAAGAUGGCUGAUUAUGUAUCACCGUAAAACUAAGUCGGCAGCAGCGAAGACAAUCGGUUUAGUUGUUCACAAACGACUGGUAUGGCGGGGGGAGAAGGAUGUAACCAAACAAACAACGCAAGAAAGAGUCCUCCAUACGACGUCGCAUUAUUAUAGAUGUCACUAUGUGUACAAUGUGACUACUCUACUCGCAGUAGCCCACUGACGAACCAUAUUCGACUUCGAUCGUCGUACAGUUGUACCACCGGUUUGAGAAAACUGUAAAGAGCGGUUUAGAAGUUUGAUUUGCUCUCUACCGGACUUCGACGAACGUCUUCACAGAGAAAGAGGCAGAUGGAUGAACGACGUGCCAUAACCAUCCCGCUGGACAUAAUUUCGCUGAACAGAAGUGAUAUUAAACGGAUCAACAACCAGACCUUUUCGUCUACCCUAUGCCAUGCCAUGCGUAUGUUAUGGGUGGGCCAAACCUACACCAAAUUAAUCCUGAACAACGACAGAAACCUGGUCUGAAAAAUGGAUGACAAAUAAUUACCCACACUGGACGUGGUGGCGGCCCGUUAAACGUAGCUUAUUUUCAGGCGUGACACAAACCGUAACGGAAAAAGAAUACCUC